rnacentral:rRNA from 1 species
ACGGAAGGCAGCAGUGAGGAAUAUUGGUCAAUGGGCGGAAGCCUGAACCAGCCAAGUCGCGUGAAGGAUGAAGGUAUUAUGUAUUGUAAACUUCUUUAGCCAGGGGGCAAUAAGGCGUAUGUAUACGCCGAUGAGAGUACCUGGAGAAUAAGGAUCGGCUAACUCCGUGCCAGCAGCCGCGGUAAUACGGAGGAUCCGAGCGUUAUCCGGAUUUAUUGGGUUUAAAGGGUGCGCAGGCGGCUUUUUAAGUCAGUGGUUAAAUCGUGACGCUCAACGUCAUCACGCCAUUGAUACUGGAGAGCUUGAUUGCGGUCGAGGUUUGCGGAAUUCGUCGUGUAGCGGUGAAAUGCGUAGAUAUGACGAAGAACACCGAUUGCGUAGGCAGCAGACCAGGCCGUAAAUGACGCUCAUGCACGAAAGUGCGGGGAUCGAACAGGAUUAGAUACCCUGGUA